GUCCAAAAUGACUCUCGGCAACGGAUAUCUCGGCUGUUGCAUCGAUGAAGAACGUAGCGAAAUGCGAUACUUGGUGUGAAUUGCAGAAUCCCGUGAACCAUCGAGU
rnacentral:rRNA from 1 species